UACAGAGGUCUCAAGCGUUUGUUCGGAUUCAUUGGGCGUAAAGGGUGUGUAGGCUGGCGCCGUAAGUCGGGUGUGAAAUUCGAUGGCUUAACUCCGAAACUGCAUUCGAUACUGCGUGCUUGAGGACUGGAGAGGAGACUGGAAUUCAUGGUGUAGCGUGAAAUGCGUAGAGAUCGUAGGAAGACCAGUGGCGAAGGCGGGUCUCUG
rnacentral:rRNA from 1 species